AACGAACGCUGGCGGCAGGCUUAACACAUGCAAGUCGAGCGCCCCGCCAGGGGUGCGGCCGACUGGUGAGUAACGCGUGGGAACGUACCUUUUGGUUCGGAACAACUCCGGGAAACUGGAGCUAAUACCGGAUAAGCCCUAACGGGGAAAGAUUUAUCGCCGAAAGAUCGGCCCGCGUCUGAUUAGCUAGUUGGUGAGGUAACGGCUCACCAAGGCGACGAUCAGUAGCUGGUCUGAGAGGAUGAUCAGCCACACUGGGACUGAGACACGGCCCAGACUCCUACGGGAGGCAGCAGUGGGGAAUAUUGGACAAUGGGCGCAAGCCUGAUCCAGCCAUGCCGCGUGGGUGAUGAAGGCCUUAGGGUUGUAAAGCUCUUUUGUCCGGGAAGAUAAUGACUGUACCGGAAGAAUAAGCCCCGGCUAACUUCGUG
rnacentral:rRNA from 1 species